rnacentral:rRNA from 1 species
GAUGAACGCUGGCGGCGCGCCUAACACAUGCAAGUCGAACGAGCGAGAGAGAGCUUGCUUUCUCGAGCGAGUGGCGAACGGGUGAGUAACGCGCGAGGAACCUGCCUCAAAGAGGGGGACAACAGUUGGAAACGACUGCUAAUACCGCAUAAGCCCACGGCUCGGCAUCGAGCAGGGGGAAAAGGAGCAAUCCGCUUUGAGAUGGCCUCGCGUCCGAUUAGCUAGUUGGUGAGGUAACGGCCCACCAAGGCGACGAUCGGUAGCCGGACUGAGAGGUUGAACGGCCACAUUGGGACUGAGACACGGCCCAGACUCCUACGGGAGGCAGCAGUGGGGAAUAUUGCACAAUGGGGGAAACCCUGAUGCAGCGACGCCGCGUGGAGGAAGAAGGUCUUCGGAUUGUAAACUCCUGUUGUUGGGGAAGAUAAUGACGGUACCCAACAAGGAAGUGACGGCUAACUACGUG